CCACCAUUCCGUAGGUUGAGUAGGAAGUCCUUCUUGAAGUCUAAUCUCAAGAAUUCAUGCCAUGGAUUGGGCCAAUGUUCCACCUUUAUUGGAGUCUGGGGACUUAGGUGGAAAAGGCAGAACUGGCUGGUUGGAGGAGCCACCUCCCUGCAAGGGGCCAGGAGGGAGAUUACAGAGGCGCCAGGCCCAGAGCUCCAACAUGCACCUGCCACAGCUCCAGGGGAGAUCGGGGGCCUGCCAAUUUACCCCGCCCCAUGAUCUCAUGGCUGUGUGUGCCAGGCACUGGCUCAGGGAGCAGCAUCUCACAGAGAAGAUACUUGGAUGGGCCACAGGCCAAAACUGGGCCAAAACCCUGGAGAGGAGGACCUGGCUCAAGGCCACACCACAUUUCCAUGUCAUUUUUCAGUGGCACCAACUGAGCUGGACAGAUGUUCUCACAGAGCUACACAUGCCAUGAUCAUCACUAGUUGCGAGAGUCUCCAGUGUUCAUUAAGCCUAUUUUGCUGGAAGUUUAGUCCCUGGAGGAUUAGUCCCUGCCCUUAAGGAGUGCCAAAGAAGACUUUGGAAUCUAAAUCACAUCUCCCCUGCUGCAAUUUUUUCCUCUUGAUAAUCAAGGAAACUCACUGAUAAAACUCUCAAUGAGGAGCAGCUCUCCCCAUGAGCAAGUUCUUGCCUUCAUUGCCAGGGAGGGCCCAGCUAAGGUUAUACUGGGAAAGGAAUCUCUGGGGAGUACCUGGAAAAGGUCAGCUUCUCCUCAAAGGAAGCCUCUCCAGCUGGUGUACUGCAAAGCCUUCUAAGACCAAGUUCCCUCCUCCUGACCUCU
rnacentral:lncRNA from 1 species